rnacentral:rRNA from 1 species
AUUGAACGCUGGCGGCAUGCCUUACACAUGCAAGUCGAACGGCAGCACGGGAGCAAUCCUGGUGGCGAGUGGCGAACGGGUGAGUAAUAUAUCGGAACGUGCCCAGUAGUGGGGGAUAACUGCUCGAAGGAGCAGCUAAUACCGCAUACGACCUGAGGGUGAAAGGGGGGGAUCGCAAGACCUCUCGCUAUUGGAGCGGCCGAUAUCAGAUUGGCUAGUUGGUGGGGUAAAGGCCUACCAAGGAAACGAUCUGUAGUUGGUCUGAGAGGACGACCAGCCACACUGGGACUGAGACACGGCCCAGACUCCUACGGGAGGCAGCAGUGGGGAAUUUUGGACAAUGGGCGCAAGCCUGAUCCAGCAAUGCCGCGUGCAGGAAGAAGGCCUUCGGGUUGUAAACUGCUUUUGUCAGGGAAGAAAUCCUCUAGGUUAAUACCCUUGGGGGGAUGACGGUACCUGAAGAAUAAGCACCGGCUAACUACGUGCCAGCAGCCGCCGUAAGAC